rnacentral:rRNA from 1 species
AAACUUUCAACAACGGAUCUCUUGGUUCUGGCAUCGAUGAAGAACGCAGCAAAAUGCGAUAAGUAAUGUGAAUUGCAGAAUUCAGUGAAUCAUCGAAUCUUUGAACGCACAUUGCGCCCGCUGGUAUUCCGGCGGGCAUGCCUGUUCGAGCGUCAUUUCAACCCUCAAGCCCCCGGGUUUGGUGUUGGGGAUCGGCUCUGCCCUU